GAUGAAGAACGCAGCGAAAUGCGAUACUUGGUGUGAAUUGCAGAAUCCCGUGAACCAUCGAGUCUUUGAACGCAAGUUGCGCCUCAAGCCAUAAGGUUGAGGGCACGUCUGCCUGGGCGUCACAUAUCGUUGCCUGAUGCCAGUUUCCUCGUGAUGGGUGACUGUGCAGGGCGAAUGAUGGCUUCCCGUGAGCAUUGUUGCCUCAUGGUUGGUUGAAAAUUGAGUCCUUGGUAGGGAGCGCCGUGAUAGAUGGUGGUUGAGUGACGAACGAGACCCAAUCAUGUGAGACCCCUACCGAAUUUGGCCUUCAUGACCCACAUGCGUCUUUGGAACGCUCAUGACGAGACCUCAGGUCAGGCGGGGCUACCCGCUGAGUUUAAGCAUAUCAAUAAGCGGAGGA
rnacentral:misc_RNA from 1 species